GACGAACGCUGGCGGCGUGCUUAACACAUGCAAGUCGAACGGAAAGGCCCUGCUUUUGUGGGGUGCUCGAGUGGCGAACGGGUGAGUAACACGUGAGUAACCUGCCCUUGACUUUGGGAUAACUUCAGGAAACUGGGGCUAAUACCGGAUAGGAGCUCCUGCUGCAUGGUGGGGGUUGGAAAGUUUCGGCGGUUGGGGAUGGACUCGCGGCUUAUCAGCUUGUUGGUGGGGUAGUGGCUUACCAAGGCUUUGACGGGUAGCCGGCCUGAGAGGGUGACCGGCCACAUUGGGACUGAGAUACGGCCCAGACUCCUACGGGAGGCAGCAGUGGGGAAUAUGGCAGAAUGGGCGGAAGCCGGAUGCAGCAACGCCGCGUGCGGGAUGACGGCCUUCGGGUUGUAAACCGCUUUCGCCGGUGAAGAAGCGUGAGUGACGGUAAUGGGUAAAGAAGCACCGGCUAACUACGUG
rnacentral:rRNA from 1 species